GCGGGGUUAGUUCAAUGGUAGAACAUCUGCUUCCCAAGCAGGUAACGCGGGUUCGAUUCCCGUACCCCGCUCCA
rnacentral:tRNA from 1 species